rnacentral:lncRNA from 1 species
AAUAAGUGAGAAAAGACAUGUAGUUAUCCAAGUACUGGAGGACCAUCAAAAUAAAAAAGAUAAAUACAAUAUACAUGUCCCUAAAGUUGCGUGCAAAGUAUACCCUCUUAGAAAUGAUUUGGUCCAAGCACUAUUAGUUGCAGUGCAGUGAAGAUACAUACAGAAAAAGAAACUGCCCAAUAUAUUUAGAUCAGAAAAUGAAAAGGAAUUAUAUUUCAUGGAAUUUCAAUGAUGCUGGAUAUUACCAAGUCCAAGCCCAGACAAGGACACAUCUGUCAGUUAAAAUAUAAAUGCUUUGGCCAAACACUAGAUAUCUGACUAGACACUAGUAUCUUAGCAGAGACAAUUGAGACAUUUCUUUUCUUUCCCUUUUUUCUUAGCUUUGGUUGCAUUGCUUUUUCCGUAUACCACAAUAUUGCCAAACUGGAUUGAGUCGCCGUACUAGUCACUCUAAUGAUCAAUAAGGAACCAAUAAAUAAAAGUAAAUCCUUGGGCAUUGGAAAAUCAAAUUGAGAAAAAAAAGCUAUAUAAAAUUGUUCUUGGGCUUCAUGAUACAACAAUUGCAGAAGAUAUGGAGACAUAAUGCUCUUCGCUUCUGAUAAAAAAUCAAUUAGUACUAAAAGACAUCUCUGAAGUCUUUAUUGUUCUAAUUGAGGGGUUCUUACAAUUCUAGUGAGAUAAGGAUAAUAAGUAGGAUAACAUUGAAGGUCAAUAUCUGGAAUAUGGAUUGCAACAAUUCUCCAUGUCACUUGGAGAUCCAUUUUUACUAUACAUCAUAUUAUUUUCAAUGGUUGUUGUAGAGAUCAUAGGAAACACCAGUUGAAAAGUCGCCUAAGGAACUCCUGUCUUUUUAUCCAAGUCAAACUUAAAUCCUGCAAUCUGAUUGUUGCAUCUGUGUCAGUGAUUUAAAAAGGCGCUCGAGCGAGGCGAGGCGAGGCCCGAGCGCCUCGCUAAUCUCCUAGGCGGCGCGCUUCAAACAGGCGCCGCCUGGGCGCUCGCCCGAGCCCAGGCGCUGGGCGCUUCGAGUGAGUGCCUGGGUUAACCAAGGCGACCGAACCAGGAUUUUAAGUCUGGUUCAGUCCUGGUUCGGUCUCUGAUGGUUAGUUGGUUCAAUCGAACCAACUAAAAUCGAUAUAAGUGAGAACCCAACCCUAACCCUCGCCGCUGCCGCUCCCGAUCCCGAUCUCGUUGCUCGCCGCUGUCGCUGCUCACAAACACUACCUCUGUCGCCGAUCGCCGCUCCUUCUCCCGCUGCUCGCCGCUGUCGCUGCUCACAAACGCUGCCUCUGUCGCCGCUCGCGCCUCCCGCUGCUCGCCGCUCCUGCUCCCGCUCCCGCUGCUGUCGCUGCUCGCAAAUGCUGCCGCUGUCGCCACUCGCGCCUCCCGCUGCUCGCCGCUGUCACCGUUGCCUCCUUACACUCCGCUACCGCUGCCACUUCCUCUUUUCUCGGUCAGCAAGCUCAGCACCCCUUUACACUUCCUUCUUCUCCUUUUGUUAACAGUAUACAGUAUACUGUUAACAGUAUACUGUAUACUAUUAAUAUUGUUAGGUUUAUUUGAAAUUAAUAAUUUUCAAUACUGUUAAUAGGUUUUCUUAAUUUAAUAGCAUAUUUUAAUUUAAAAUUUUAAAUAAUUAUAUUUAUUAAUUAUAUUAUAUAUUUUUAUAUUUUUGCGUCUCGCUUCGCUCGGGCGAGCGCUUAGCGCCUCGGGCGUUUUUGGACCUUGGCGCCUUUUAGCGCCUAGCGCUUUUUAAAUCACUGAUCUGUGUACAUUAUGAUAGUACUGCAAGCUGACCUUCAGUUCAACUGAAAACCAAAUCAUCACAGUACAACUCUGGAUCCAGAACUUAUUUUACAUCAAAUAUCACCCGAAAAGCUCCUCGAUAUGAGUCUCCCAUUUCCUACUAUACAAGCUCAUAUCUAACUAAGAGCGACCAGCAAAUUAAAUGGAACAAAAUCUGAGUACCCAACAAUACAGUUUUUAUUAUGGAGUGGACAGGGCUCAACCUCAAUCCAAAUCUUUUCUUUCCCUUUUUUCUUAGCUUUGGUUGCAUUGCUUUUUCCGUAUACCACAAUAUUGCCAAACUAGAUUGAGGCGCCGUACUAGUCUCUCUAAUGAUCAAUAAGGAACCAAUAAAUAAAAGUAAAUCCUUGGGCAUUGGAAAAUCAAAUUGAGAAAAAAAAGCUAUAUAAAAUUGUUCUUGGGCUUCAUGAUACAACAAUUGCUGAAGAUAUGGAGACAAUGUUCUUUGCUUCUGAUAAAAAAUCAAUUAGUACUAAAAGACAUCUCUGAAGUCUUUAUUGUUCUAAUUGAGGGGCUCUUACAAUUCUAGUGAGAUAAGGAUAAUAAGUAGGAUAACAUUGAUGGCCAAUAGCUGGAAUAUGGAUUGCAACAAUUCUCCAUGUUGCUAGGAGAUCCAUUUUUUACUAUACAUCAUAUUAUUUUCAAAGGUUGUUGUAGAGAUCAUAGGAAACACCAGUUGAAAAGUCGCCUAAGGAACUCCUGUCUUUUUAUCCAAGUCAAACUUAAAUCGUGCAAUCUGAUUGUUGCAUCCAUAUACAGUAUGAUAGUAUUGCAAGCUGACCUUCAGUUCAACUGAAAACCAAAUCAUCACAGUACAACUCUGGAUCCAGAACUUAUUUUACAUCAAAUAUCACCUGAAAAGCUCCUCGAUAUGAGUCUCCCAUUUCCUACUAUACAAGCUCAUAUCUAACUAAGAGCGGCCAGAAAAUUAAAUGGAACAAAAUCUGAGUACCCAACCAUACAGUUUAUUAUGGAGUGGACAGGGCUCAACCUCAAUCCAACUCAAGCCUAGACCAGACCAGCCAAGAUCUUUUGGCUCUCAUUGGGCUGCCACAGCAGUUCAGCUGUUACCUUACAGGCUGGACUUGUCCUGUAUAAGGCCUGAAAUGGGAUUGGAUACUUCACGAUGCAUGUUUACAGCUUAUAGAUAGUUCAGGCAGUAAUGACAAUGGAUUUGGAAGGGAGAAGAUUGGUAUUUGGCUCUGAAAAGGAUUCCUAAACAGAAAAAAAAAAAAAAAAAAAAAGGUGUAGGGGGGGCAGGGGGGGCGGCGGCGGGGGCAGCCCAUAGAUACAACUUAGCUCCACUAGUAAAUGGUAGUCCGUAUAUGUGCCACAUAACACCAAGAGGGCAUGCUACUGGAUUGUCUUCUCCUCUUUUAUGCAAAAAUUUAGUUCAAUUAGUAGAACUUAAUUGUUACUUGUUAGUUCAUAACUUUGAAUGUUUCUUCUCUUCCUUGAACUAGAAAGAGUGUUAGUAAAAGGAACCAUUCCUAACAGUUCUUCCGGAUCCAGUUUGUACAACCUCUCCAAAUGCUCAUGUUCUUUAGUCCCUAUUCAAGAGGGUUUCUUCAAUUUGAAAUAGAAGGUAUAUUCUACAACACAAAGACACAUUUCACGUGCAUAUACAGUUCAUAAGCCGAAACUUUUUUCUGAAGUGGCAAUCGCAAUAAACAAUGUACCACUUUUCAUGUUGGCCAUAACAAGUUGAAGUCCAUAAAUCAUGUGUGACGAACUAAACUUAAAUUCCAAAGUUCAAACAAAGUCAUAAGUGUAUAAAAUUCACAUUCAUGUUUCUGUCGCACUGUCAAGAUCUAAAAGCUUCAUCAAAGUAUCAUUUUUAUGCUUGAACCGUUUCUAGGUACCUGCUCAUCAAGGCACCUUAAAGAUAAUAUCCACGUCAAAUGUUUUAACUUCAAAGAUAUUUAAACAUAAUUGUAUGCAAGUCUCUCAUUAAUCUGUAGUUCAAAAAACUAAUCCAAUCUUUUAUAAACCUGAUAGAGUUCACAGUCAAAUAUCCUUUAAGGAUUGUACAUGUUGACAUGUGGCUUCCCAGAUAAAUAUAACAAUGUAUUAUAAUCAACAUGUCAUUGAGACAACUAUCAUUGAGACAAGGAAAUUUUGCUUGUCUCAAUCAACUCUCAAUGAUACAAUCAACUCUUUAUCUGUCAGCAUGUCUCAAUGAUACUUUGAUGAUACAAUCAACAUGUCAUUGGUACAUUCUAAUCCAAUCAACUCUUUGCUAACAUGAAAUUUUGCUUGUCUCAACGAUAGUUGUCCUUUG